rnacentral:lncRNA from 1 species
UUUUUAUUUUGCUGAGUAGAUUAUCCCGGCAGCCUGGCCGUCAGAAAUUUGCUCGCGGGAAAUUUAUACCAGCGGCCUAGCCACCAGCAAUUUGCAUCAAUAAUCAGAAUCAAAAAAUUAUUACAGGCGGCCUAGGAUGAUACAUUCUGGCGACAUUACUUCUGACGAUGAUAUACCGACGGCUGGGCCGCUAGGACACCUAAUAUCGGCGGCCAGGCCGUCAGAACUACGUUGUUUUUCUGUAGUGAUUGUCAAUUUUCAGACUUAACAUCAGUUAAUAAAAACAGAAUUUUAUCAACUAAAACAGAAAAUAUAAAAACUAAGAAACUCAUACUCAUGACUCCCUAAUCCCUCGGUCGAUGUCAAAAAAAACUCCACUUCUCCUUCUCAAAAUAGUAUAAACUCACUAUAUUUUAGAUUUAAAUCAUCACAUACUAAUACUCCCGACAACUCUGGAAUACUAAAAAACAACGAAUCAAAAUAAUCGGCAAUACUCGAGAAACAAACACAAUCAUUUUCAAUCACGAAAAUAAGAUAAUAAUACUACGGAAUCCCCAAAGAAUUAGUUGUCGAAUCAAUCACAAAAAUAUCUAAAUCAUGACAAUAACACCCAACUUGAAAUCUCUGAAAAAUUGGUAAACUUAAAUUAAAUCCAGCAAGUUUAUUUCAACAUAAACUGCAACACAAAAACAAGCAAAAGAACCCAACUCUAAUAUCUGAAUAUUAUCAGAUUUGCAGGAAUGAUCAUAUUCUAAUAAACCUAUCAAUUCCAUCUUCAAUGGACAUCUAUGUAUCACUUCUUGAACUGUUUAAAAUCAAUCACAAAAUAUCUAAAACCUUUAAAAUCAGGACACGAACACCCACCUUUAAAUCUCUGAAAAUUGAUAAACAUAGAUUAAAUCCAGCAAGUUUAUUUCGACAUAAAAUGCAACACAAAACAAACAAAAAGAACCCAACUCUAAUGUCUGAAUAUUAUCAGAUUUGCAGGAAUAACCAUACUCUGAUCAACCUAUCAAUCUCAUCUUAAAUGGAUAUCUAUGUAUCACUUCUUGAACUGUUGCAUUUAACACAUAACUUAGGAUAUCUAAGCCAUAACCUAAUCAUAUAAUGUUUCUAUUUCUAUCUAUCAAUGGAAUCAUAGUACUUUAACCCUAAAGAUUUACAGAAAAAUCAUAAGAACAGAUUUUAAAACUCAUACCUUAUUGAUCAACUCACAACCUCCACACCAAGAUUGAAAUCCCCCUUUGACAGAUGGAUUUCUUUCCUUUCCUUCUUUUCUCUUCUUUUCUUUCUCACCCGUUCCUCUCCUCCUAAACCUCUA